UGUUUGACCGCCAGCUCGUGCUCACUGUGUUUGACCGCCAGCUCGUGCUCUACUGCGACGAGUACCGAUGCCCACACAGGUCUUUAUGAAGCUUUGGAACUGAGGGACGGUGGAUCUGACUACUUGGGAAAGGGUGUUUCCAAGGUCUGGCAGCACCGCCGUGUCG